GUCUACGGCCGUACCACCCUGAAUGUGCCCAAUCUCAUCUGAUCUCAGAAGCUAUGCAGGGUCAGGACUGGUUAAUACAUGGAUGGGAGAACUGACUAGGAAUAUUUUCAGUCUAAAUA
rnacentral:rRNA from 1 species